rnacentral:rRNA from 1 species
CGGACGGGUGAGUAACGCGUGGAUAACCUGCCUCACACUGGGGGAUAACAGUUAGAAAUGACUGCUAAUACCGCAUAAGCGCACAGUACCGCAUGGUACAGUGUGAAAAACUCCGGUGGUGUGAGAUGGAUCCGCGUCUGAUUAGCCAGUUGGCGGGGUAACGGCCCACCAAAGCGACGAUCAGUAGCCGACCCGAGAGGGUGACCGGCCACAUUGGGACUGAGACACGGCCCAA